rfam:Gossypium arboreum cultivar AKA8401 contig_44629_1, whole genome shotgun sequence.
UAUUAAAAAUUUUAUUUAUUUAUACUAUUAAAAACUGACAUGAUUGACGAAAUAAUCAAACAAUAACGCGUGACGUGCCAUAUAUAUCUCAUGCUGACAUAAAGGGACCAAUUUUUAAUAGUAAAAAUAGAUAAAAAUUUUAACA